ACGGGUGAGUAAUGCUUAGGAAUCUGCCUAUUAGUGGGGGACAACAUCUCGAAAGGGAUGCUAAUACCGCAUACGUCCUACGGGAGAAAGCAGGGGACCUUCGGGCCUUGCGCUAAUAGAUGAGCCUAAGUCGGAUUAGCUAGUUGGUGGGGUAAAGGCCUACCAAGGCGACGAUCUGUAGCGGGUCUGAGAGGAUGAUCCGCCACACUGGGACUGAGACACGGCCCAGACUCCUACGGGAGGCAGCAGUGGGGAAUAUUGGACAAUGGGGGGAACCCUGAUCCAGCCAUGCCGCGUGUGUGAAGAAGGCCUUUUGGUUGUAAAGCACUUUAAGCGAGGAGGAGGCUACCGAGAUUAAUACUCUUGGAUAGUGGACGUUACUCGCAGAAUAAGCACCGGCUAACUCUGUGCCAGCAGCCGCGGUAAUACAGAGGGUGCAAGCGUUAAUCGGAUUUACUGGGCGUAAAGCGCGCGUAGGUGGCCAAUUAAGUCAAAUGUGAAAUCCCCGAGCUUAACUUGGGAAUUGCAUUCGAUACUGGUUGGCUAGAGUAUGGGAGAGGAUGGUAGAAUUUCCAGUGUAGCGGUGAAAUG
rnacentral:rRNA from 1 species